CAUUCUGAAGUAAGCCAAACGCUGUAAACAUCAUUUUAAGUUGUUAAUCAUGAGAGUAAAUCAACUCAUUACCGACGUCAAAUCAUUUUAUCCCUUGAAAACUGAGCAGUUGGCUAAUAUUAGCAGCUCCAGUUUCACUCUGAGAGUUCCUAUUCCCGUCCGCCAUAUCUUUAGGUAAUUUACUAUGGUACAAGCUAUUUGAUGACACUCCAUCUGCCGACUGCCAUCUUAAAAGUAAUUUAAUCUUGAAAACAGCCGAUAGCCAGCCACAAAAACAAUACACGCAAAACUCAGCACAGUAUCAUAAAUUGCUCCAAUGCUGACUGAAAACGUCUUUAUAUCAGAAAGAACCUUUUUGUAACUUUUUGAGGCUCAUUUCUUCAGUAGACAAGAGUCUUGUACAAAGCGUCUGAAUGUUCUACUAUAGUUGUUCGGAAGUACAGUAUAACACAUCUCUUAAAUAAGACAUCAAAAUUUUCUAAUUAUACAUUGUCUACAACAACAUAAUUAACAACAUAUAUAUGAUUAUGAAUCCUCCACGUGGUGAUCCGUCUCAUCAAAGAUUUCCUCCUACACAAAAAAAAAAUAAAAAAUAAAAUAAAAAAAUAAAUAAAUAUCGACAUUUAGAUACCUCGGAGCUGCAAAAGUCAUGGAAAGUAUUGAAAUCUAAAAGCUCUACAUAUAGCAAAUUUAUCCAGUUCACCUGUAAAAGCU
rnacentral:lncRNA from 1 species